CCCGGGGAAACCCGGGCUAAUACCGCAUAAGCCUUAUUUUGUAAGUGAGAUAAGGGAAAGUCUUCGGGUGCCGAAGGAGGAGCCCGCGUCCGAUUAGCUAGUUGGUGAGGUAAGAGCUCACCAAGGCGACGAUCGGUAGCCGGUCUGAGAGGACGGACGGUCACACUGGGACUGAGACACGGCCCAGACUCCUACGGGAGGCAGCAGUGGGGAAUUUUGGGCAAUGGGCGAAAGCCUGACCCAGCAACGCCGCGUGGAGGAUGAAGGUUUUCGGAUCGUAAACUCCUGUCUAGAGGGACGAAGAAGAUGACGGUACCUCUGGAGGAAGCCCCGGCUAACUCCGUGCCAGCAGCCGCGGUAAUACGGGGGGGGCGAGCGUUGUUCGGAAUUACUGGGCGUAAAGGGCGCGUAGGCGGUUUCGGAAGUCAUGGGUGAAAGUCCUCGGCUCAACCGAGGGAUUGCCUGUGAAACCACGGGACUGGAGUGCUGGAGAGGGAAGUGGAAUUCCCAGUGUAGCGGUGAAAUGCGUAGAUAUUGGGAGGAACACCUGUGGCGAAGGCGGCUUCCUGGACAGACACUGACGCUGAGGCGCGAAAGCCAGGGGAGCAAACGGGAUUAGAUACUCCGGUAGUCCUGGCUGUAAACGAUGAACACUUGGUGUGGGGGGUGAUGAAAGUCCCUCUGUGCCGGAGAGAACUCAUUAAGUGUUCCGCCUGGGGAGUACGGCCGCAAGGCUGAAACUCAAAGGAAUUGACGGGGGCCCGCACAAGCGGUGGAGCAUGUGGUUUAAUUCGACGCAACGCGAAGAACCUUACCGGGGUUUGAACUGCACCUGAGCGAUCUAGAGAUGGAGAGGUUCCCUUCGGGGACAGGUGCAGAGGUGCUGCAUGGCUGUCGUCAGCUCGUGUCGUGAGAUGUUGGGUUAAGUCCCGCAACGAGCGCAACCCUUGUCUGUAGUUGCCAUCAGGUAAAGCUGGGCACUCUACGGAGACUGUCGGCGAGAAGCCGGAGGAAGGUGGGGAUGACGUCAAGUCCUCAUGGCCUUUAUGUCCCGGGCUACACACGUGCUACAAUGGGCGGUACAGAGGGCAGCGACCCUGUGAAGGCAAGCGAAUCCCAGAAAACCGCUCUCAGUUCGGAUUGCAGUCUGCAACUCGACUGCAUGAAGUUGGAAUCGCUAGUAAUCGCGGAUCAGAACGCCGCGGUGAAUACGUUCCCGGGCCUUGUACACACCGCCCGUCACAUCACGAAAGUGGGCUGUACUAGAAGCCGCCGGCCUAACCUUAGGGAAGGAGGCGUCGACGGUAUGGCUCAUGAUUGGGGUGAAGUCGGAACAAGGUA
rnacentral:rRNA from 1 species